UACGAAGGGGGCUAGCGUUGCUCGGAAUCACUGGGCGUAAAGCGCACGUAGGCGGCUUUCUAAGUCAGGGGUGAAAUCCUGGAGCUCAACUCCAGAACUGCCUUUGAUACUGGGAGCUCGAGUCCGGAAGAGGUGAGUGGAACUCCGAGUGUAGAGGUGAAAUUCGUAGAUAUUCGGAAGAACACCAGUGGCGAAGGCGGCUCACUGGUCCGGUACUGACGCUGAGGUGCGAAAGCGUGGGGAGCGAACAGG
rnacentral:rRNA from 1 species